rnacentral:rRNA from 1 species
UACGGAGGGAGCUAGCGUUGUUCGGAAUUACUGGGCGUAAAGCGCGCGUAGGCGGCUUUGCAAGUUAGAGGUGAAAGCCCGGAGCUCAACUCCGGAACUGCCUUUAAGACUGCAUCGCUUGAAUCCAGGAGAGGUGAGUGGAAUUCCGAGUGUAGAGGUGAAAUUCGUAGAUAUUCGGAAGAACACCAGUGGCGAAGGCGGCUCACUGGACUGGUAUUGACGCUGAGGUGCGAAAGCGUGGGGAGCAAACAGG